rnacentral:lncRNA from 1 species
UGUGCUAAUUUUUACCAAAAAAAAAGGUGGUUUUUAAUGUCCUUAAUGUACAUUGAGGGGAUAACCCUAGGUGUUGUUCCCAACUUCCCAACCUGAUAAAGGUCUUUCUUUGUGCAUUUUUUUAAAUUGGAAUAGUCAACAAUUAUUUAAUAUCCUUACACAUGAAAUUAAUUCCUGGUCUUGCAGCUACAUGUUCAUCUUUUUCUACUGAUAUA